UACAGAGGUCUCAAGCGUUGUUCGGAUUCAUUGGGCGUAAAGGGUGCGUAGGUGGCGCCAUAAGUCAGGUGUGGAAAAUCUCGGGGCUCAACCUCGAAACUGCACUUGAUACUGUGGUGCUGGAGUACUGGAGAGGAGAUUGGAAUUUACGGUGUAGCAGUGAAAUGCGUAGAUAUCGUAAGGAAGACCAGUGGCGAAGGCGAAUCUCUGGACAGUUACUGACACUGAGGCACGAAGGCCAGGGGAGCAAACGGG
rnacentral:rRNA from 1 species